rnacentral:rRNA from 1 species
UACGUAGGGGGCAAGCGUUGUCCGGAAUUAUUGGGCGUAAAGGGUGCGUAGGCGGUCGGGUAAGUCUGAUGUGAAAUCUCACAGCUUAACUGUGAAACUGCAUUGGAUACUAUCCGGCUCGAGGAAUGGAGGGGAGACUGGAAUACUUGGUGUAGCAGUGAAAUGCGUAGAUAUCAAGUGGAACACCAGUGGCGAAGGCGAGUCUCUGGACAUUUCCUGACGCUGAGGCACGAAAGCCAGGGGAGCAAACGGG